rnacentral:rRNA from 1 species
GUCGAACGAAGCACUUUAUUUGAUUUCCUUCGGGACUGAUUAUUUUGUGACUGAGUGGCGGACGGGUGAGUAACGCGUGGGUAACCUGCCUUGUACAGGGGGAUAACAGUUGGAAACGGCUGCUAAUACCGCAUAAGCGCACAGCAUCGCAUGAUGCAGUGUGAAAAACUCCGGUGGUAUAAGAUGGACCCGCGUUGGAUUAGCUAGUUGGUGAGGUAACGGCCCACCAAGGCGACGAUCCAUAGCCGACCUGAGAGGGUGACCGGCCACAUUGGGACUGAGACACGGCCCAAACUCCUACGGGAGGCAGCAGUGGGGAAUAUUGCACAAUGGGCGAAAGCCUGAUGCAGCGACGCCGCGUGAGCGAAGAAGUAUUUCGGUAUGUAAAGCUCUAUCAGCAGGGAAGAUAAUGACGGUACCUGACUAAGAAGCACCGGCUAAAUACGUGCCAGUAGCCGCGGUAAUACGUAUGGUGCAAGCGUUAUCCGGAUUUACUGGGUGUAAAGGGAGCGCAGGCGGUGCGGCAAGUCUGAUGUGAAAGCCCGGGGCUCAACCCCGGUACUGCAUUGGAAACUGUCGUACUAGAGUGUCGGAGGGGUAAGCGGAAUUCCUAGUGUAGCGGUGAAAUGCGUAGAUAUUAGGAGGAACACCAGUGGCGAAGGCGGCUUACUGGACGAUAACUGACGCUGAGGCUCGAAAGCGUGGGGAGCAAACAGGAUUAGAUACCCCGGUAGU